rnacentral:rRNA from 1 species
GAGGUUAAGCGACUAAGCGUACACGGUGGAUGCCCUGGCAGUCAGAGGCGAUGAAGGACGUGCUAAUCUGCGAAAAGCGUCGGUAAGGUGAUAUGAACCGUUAUAACCGGCGAUGUCCGAAUGGGGAAACCCAGUGUGAUUCGUCACACUAUCGUUAACUGAAUACAUAGGUUAACGAGGCGAACCGGGGGAACUGAAACAUCUAAGUACCCCGAGGAAAAGAAAUCAACCGAGAUUCCCCCAGUAGCGGCGAGCGAACGGGGAGCAGCCCAGAGUCUGAAU